GAUGAACGCUGGCGGCGUGCCUAAUACAUGCAAGUAGAACGCUGAAGGAAGGAGCUUGCUCUUUCCGGAUGAGUUGCGAACGGGUGAGUAACGCGUAGGUAACCUGCCUGGUAGCGGGGGAUAACUAUUGGAAACGAUAGCUAAUACCGCAUAACAGUAGAUGUUGCAUGAUAUCUACUUAAAAGGUGCAAUUGCACCACUACCAGAUGGACCUGCGUUGUAUUAGCUAGUUGGUGAGGUAACGGCUCACCAAGGCGACGAUACAUAGCCGACCUGAGAGGGUGAUCGGCCACACUGGGACUGAGACACGGCCCAGACUCCUACGGGAGGCAGCAGGAGGGAAUCUUCGGCAAUGGACGGAAGUCUGACCGAGCAACGCCGCGUGAAUGAAGAAGGUUUUCGGAUCGUAAAGCUCUGUUGUAAGAGAAGAAAGAGUGUGAGAGUGGAAAGUUCACACUGUGACGGUAUCUUACCAGAAAGGGACGGCUAACUACGUG
rnacentral:rRNA from 1 species